CAUUUAGUGACUCCACAUGAGUGAAUAGUGUGGUAUGGCAUCUGGAAAAGCCCAUUUGAUUUUUGGCUGCAUUAAUAAAGGCACAGUGUCCAGGGCAAAGGAAGUGAUGGACAGUCCCACUGUCCUUUGCCCUCGUCAGAACACAUCUGGAGUGCUGUGUUCAGUUGUGGCCGAGUCUUUUAGGAAAAGACAUUUAUGUAUAAGCUGGAGAACACCCCAUUAGAAUGGAAGCUCCUUGAGGGCAGGAACCAUUUGUUCACUUAAUUGGUGCUUAAUAAAUGCUUGUGGAUUGGUUGGUCAGCAAUCAGAAGAGAACAACCAGGAGGGUAAAAGGCCAUGCCACAGGAGGAUUACUUGGAGGGGAACAGGAAUGCUUAACUUGGAAAAGAGAAGAUGGGGAAACAUGAAUAGUUGUCUUCAAGUGUUUUUAGGAGUGGCAUGUGAAAGAAGGAUUAGGCUUCCUCUGCUUGACCCCAGAUGGUAGCCCUAGGAGCAAUGAUGGGAGUGAGAGCUUGGUAUGAAAAAAAAAAAAGCCAAACCCUUUCAUGACAAUUAGAGCUGUCUCAGAAUGCAACAGGAUGCUUUAGCUCCCAUGAUCUUCCCAUGGAGGCUGGGAUGUUAUAGAAAGGAUUCCUGUUCAGAUGCAGGUUGGAUUAGGUGGCCUCUGAGAUUCUAACCCUUCUAACCCUGACACUCUGUGAAUCUGGCUCCUGGCUCCUAGGUCAGGGCUCUUUCCACUGCAUAACUCAUUCUUUUAGAAGAAAACAACAGUGGCCUGAGUGUCUGAACACUCUGUCCCAUUUACUGGAACUAGGACAAAAUAAAAGCAAGAAGAUGGGCACCUUUCCCAUUCUGCCUCUGCCUGGUCUUUUGCACAACAGCUUAUUGCAUUCAUUCCCUGGCUUUAGCUCCCUUGAAUACUGUAAACAUCUUACUGUGACCUCCACUGAAGCAGCCAUAUUCUUGGGGUCUUGUUUUGAUGAAUGGCCCAUUGUGAACCAGAUGAGCUCAGUGUAUGGAGGUCCAUCCGUCACCAGAGGAUUGGUCAUUCACAGCCUUUCAUGAAGACCGUUUGCUGAGGCUCAGAAGGGUGGAGAUCAGCAGCAGAAGUGCUCACAGUGAAUGAAGAACAGAUUCUGGCAGAAUCUGGAGCAGAAUGAGGUAGAAAGAGCCCCGGAUUGGGAAGACCUGGGUUUGAUUCCCAGCUGUAUGACCUUGGGUUUACUUCAAACAGAAUCUUCCCUGAACUUUGCUCAGCUAAUUCCAUGGUCAACUGCUCCUGCACCUGUCACAACCCACCACUACGGCUCCAAGCCACCUCCAAUCUCAACCCAAGGACUCUGGAACUUUCACACUGGCCAGGAAGCUGAGGAACCUAGACAUAUCCAUCCUGGGGUACUCAUUCACCUAAGAUCAGGAAAAAACAAACAGAAAAGAGGUAAAGGCCCCACACAAGCUUACCUAGUUA